AACGUAGGAGGCAAGCGUUAUCCGGAUUUAUUGGGCGUAAAGCGUGUGCAGGCGGUUUGGCAAGUUGGAUGUGAAAGCUCCCGGCUUAACUGGGAGAGGUCGUUCAAAACUGCCAGACUAGAGAAUGGAAGAGGGAGGUGGAAUUCCGGGUGUAGUGGUGAAAUGCGUAGAUAUCCGGAGGAACACCAGUGGCGAAAGCGGCCUCCUAGGCCAUUUCUGACGCUAAGACACGAAAGCUAGGGUAGCAAACGGG
rnacentral:rRNA from 2 species